UACGUAGGCAGCAAGCGUUGUUCGGAAUUACUGGGCGUAAAGAGUGUGUAGGCGGUGUUCUAAGUUUGGUGUGAAAUCUCCCGGCUCAACUGGGAGGGUGCGCCGAAAACUGGAAUGCUAGAGUAUGGGAGAGGUAAGCGGAAUUCCUGGUGUAGCGGUGAAAUGCGUAGAUAUCGGGAGGAACACCAGUGGCGAAGGCGAUCAUCUGGGGUUGUUCUGACGCUGAGGAGCGAAAGCUAGGGGAGCAAACGGG
rnacentral:rRNA from 1 species